rnacentral:lncRNA from 1 species
CUUUCUCUCUUCGCCUGCUGCCGUCCAUGUAAGAUGGGACUUGCUCCUCCUUGCCUUCCACCAUGAUUGUGAGGCUUCCUCAGCCACGUGGAACUAUGCCCUGACCUUCCGGGAAACCCUCGGUGAGAGGCCCACAGCCUCGCUUCUAGGGUCACCACUGCUUCUUCCAGUCUAGCCAAACAGCUCCUAGUACAGCUCAGAGCACCCUGCAAGGAGGGCACGUGUUAAAUCGAGGAGCACACAUGCUCCACGAGGAAUUCUUUGCUUUGAGGCCAUGCACAGAGGUGGGUUCACUAUGAAGCUUGUGAAAUAAGCUUCAGGGCCCGCAUUUGCAUGGGCCACAGAGAGUCUGGGAGCUGCAGAAGGUUCAAGGGAAGAGGAGCCAUCACAAGCAGAAUAUUCUAGAAGGCAUUUCUGGCAAAUGGCCCAAAGAGGCCUCAGGAGAAAAGAACUUGAGUCUUCAAGGAUGCAAUGAGAAGGCACCAUCUGUGAGGAACAGGCCUCCGACAGACACCGAAUUUGCUGGCACUUUGAUCUUGGACUUCCCAGCCUCCAAAAUUAUCCAUAAUGGAUUCCUGGGACAUUUUCAGAUCUCCUUCCAGCUUCCUCUUCGCCCUUUCCAAGUCCGCCCGCAGUUUCUUCUCCUGCUCUAAGGAACCCUCAAGCUGAGAAGACACACAGAGACAAGGGCUUGCUCUGUUGCCCAAGCUAAAGUGCAGUGGUGUGAGUGUAGCCCACUGCAUCCUCACACUCCUGUGCUCAAGUGAUCCUCCCACCUCAGCCUCCCAAGUAGCUGGAACUACAAGAUGGAGUCUCGCUGCGAUGCCCAGGCUGGAGUGCAAUGGUGCAAUCUUGGCUCACUGCAACCUUCGUUUCCCAGGUUUAAGCAAUUCUCCUGCCUCAGCCUCCCAAGUAUCUGGGACUACAGGCGAGCGUCACCAUGCCUGGCUAAUUUUUGUAUUUUUAGUAGAGAUGUUUAGUAGAGAGUUUCACCAUAUUGGCCAGGCUGGUCUUGAACUCCUGACCUCAAGGGAUCCGCCCACCUUGGCCUCUCAAAGUGCUGGGAUUACAGGCGUGAGCCACCGUGCCUGGCAAUGUUUGUAGUUUCUUUCAUGAAUUUACCUCCUUUUAUUCUUUAAUCCCUGCUUAUCUCUAAAGAGUAAGUAACUGAAAGUAAUAAAACGGAAUUUUCUCAACAAUAUUUUAUAAG